UCUCUGAUAGUAUAUCGGUUAGUACACGCGCCUGUCAUAGAAUGAGGAGACGCGCGAAAGCUGGGUUCGACUCCCAGUCAGAGAG